rnacentral:rRNA from 1 species
GAAACUUGCCCCGAGAUGAGUUCUCCCUGACUCUUUAAGGGUCCUGAAGGAACGUUGAAGACGACGACGUUGAUAGGCCGGGUGUGUAAGCGCAGCGAUGCGUUGAGCUAACCGGUACUAAUGAACCGUGAGGCUUAACCUU